CAAUACACAUUAAAGUAUUCUAUUAAUGAAAUACAUCCGUGCCUAAUGCAUUCCCUAGGCACUGAAGAUCAGUGCCUACUGACUUCUAUAGUAGAAAAAAAAAAAAAAAAAUUUGAUGCCUUUUGUCUCGUGCAUGCAUAGACGCCUUUUUUCACUCCUGAGAAAGUGACUUUUACAAAUAAAGAUUGAAACACAAAUUUCAUACAUUAGCGAUUACUUGCGCUACAUUUCUGGGACACUUACAAUUACGAGAAACUACGAGAAAUUUAUAAUUCCAACUUUGAUUACAGAGAAAAUUACUUGCAAAUGAAAUGAUCCUUCUUACUCCGUAAUGAUAUUGCAUUCUCCCAUCCCUUCCCUACGAGUGUGCAAGCUCGUGGUCUGGCUAUAGUAGCCCUCUUUUUACCUGCUAACCAGUGGAAUCAUCAAUCAAGCCACUCUAGAAAAUGACAAACAAGGCAAACAAAUUGUGCAGAUGCAAAUAUAACAAUAGUUUUUGAAACCCACAUAUUGGGACAAACCUACAGCAUUGCAUCAUUUUUAGACUAAUUAAUUCUUUGUUGUCAGUCUAGUAUCAAAAGCAGCUGGAGAGCAAAUGCCAUUAAAGAAAAAUCCUUUACCUUUGCCAAUAUCUUCAAUAUCAAAUACUU
rnacentral:lncRNA from 1 species